UACAGAGGUGGCAAGCGUUGUUCGGAAUUACUGGGCGUAAAGGGCGCGUAGGCGGCCUUCUAAGUCAGACGUGAAAUCCCCCGGCUUAACCUGGGAACUGCGUCUGAUACUGUAGGGCUUGAGUGCGGGAGAGGGAUGUGGAAUUCCAGGUGUAGCGGUGAAAUGCGUAGAUAUCGGGAGGAACACCGGUGGCGAAGGCGGCCUUCUGGACGGAUACUGACGCUGAGACGCGAAAGCGUGGGGAGCAAACAGG
rnacentral:rRNA from 1 species